rnacentral:rRNA from 1 species
GGCCUAAAAGCAGCCACCUCAAAAAAAGCGUCAUAGCUUAAUCUUAUAAUUUAUAUAAUUCCUAAAUAUUUCCUCAACCCUUCACCACUAAAAAGCAAUUCUAUACUCCUAUAGAAAAUUUUAUGUUAAAACUAGUAACAAGAAGUUAGCCCUUCUCUUAAAUGGGCCUGUAAAUCAACACGGACCUGCCAUUGACAAUUAGCGUUUAUAAUCCAAUAGUACCCUCUCCCACGAAAAACCUACUAUCAUUAACGUUAACCUAACACAAGACCAUUAAAAGAAAGAUUAAAAGACAAGGAAGGAACUCGGCAAACAUUAGCCUCGCCUGUUUACCAAAAACAUCGCCUCCUGAUUAACUAUAAGAGGUCAAGCCUGCCCAGUGACAUUGUUCAACGGCCGCGGUAUCCUAACCGUGCGAAGGUAGCGUAAUCACUUGUUCUUUAAAUGAGGACUAGUAUGAACGGCUUCACGAAGGCUAUACUGUCUCCCUUAUCUAAUCAGUUAAACUAAUCUCCCCGUGAAGAAGCGGGGAUUUACAUAUAAGACGAGAAGACCCUAUGGAGCUUAAAACACUUCUAAACAUUUGAAUUCCACACUACCAUUUUCAGAAACCUUCAUGAAACCCAUCAUUUUGUUUUAAGUUUUAGGUUGGGGUGACCACGGAGAAUAACCUAACCUCCACGUAGAAAGAACUUUCUUUUCUAAGCAAAGAGCUACAUCUUUAUGCAUCAACAUAUUGACCUAAUUGACCCAAUUAUUUGAUCAACGAACCAAGUUACCCUAGGGAUAACAGCGCAAUCCGCUUUAAGAGCUCCUAUCGACAAGCGGGCUUACGACCUCGAUGUUGGAUCAGGGAAUCCCAGUGGUGCAGCAGCUACUAAUGGGUCGUUUGUUCAACGAUUAAAACCCU